AUGGCGUCGGAGGACGUGGUCAGCGAGAGGGAGUCCGCCGUGUCGACGAUCGUCAACCUGGCGGAGGAGGCCAGCGAGGGCGUGAAGGCGCCCAGCCACGCUCUUCUCAGCAUCUGCAAGUCGCUCGUGGCCGGCGGAGUGGCCGGCGGAGUGUCACGUACUGCUGUUGCUCCAUUGGAGAGAUUAAAAAUAUUGCUGCAGGUUCAGAAUCCUCAUAGCAUAAAGUACAACGGAACAAUGCAAGGCCUAAAAUACAUAUGGAGAACUGAGGGUUUAAGGGGAUUGUUCAAAGGCAAUGGCACUAAUUGUGCUCGUAUUGUUCCCAAUUCAGCUGUCAAGUUCUUCAGCUAUGAGCAGGCAUCUCACGGCAUUUUAUGGCUUUAUCGGCAGCAACCUGGGAAAGAAGAUGCACAGCUAACUCCUCUUUUUACGCCUGGGAGCUGGUGCAUGUGCUGGAAUUAUUGCCAUGUCUGCGACAUAUCCAAUGGACAUGGUACGCGGACAGAGAAGUCUCCGACAGUAUAGAGGAAUUUAUCAUGCUCUUUCAACUGUCUUCAAGGAAGAAGGCCCUAGGGCAUUGUACAGAGGCUGGCUUCCUUCUGUAAUAGGAGUUGUUCCUUAUGUAGGUCUGAACUUCGCUGUGUAUGAAUCCUUGAAAGACUAUUUACUUCAAACCAACCCAUUGGGACUGGUUGAGGACAACGAGCUAAGUGUGACAACGAGGCUUGCAUGCGGUGCUGCUGGCGGGGACUAUUGGUCAGACGGUAGCUUACCCUCUUGAUGUCAUCAGGGCGAAGAAUGCAAAUGGUUGGCUGGAAAGGUGCUUCUUCAGUUAUAGUUGGUGAAGGGAGGAGUAAGGCACCACUCGAAUACACUGGCAUGGUUGAUGCAUUUAGGAAGACUGUUCGUUAUGAGGGAUUUGGAGCAUUAUACAAGGGUUUGGUCCCCAAUUCAGUAAAGGUCGUUCCAUCGAUAGCUAUUGCCUUCGUCACAUAUGAAGUGGUUAAGGACGUUCUUGGAGUGGAGAUGAGGAUAUCCGACUGAAGGGAGAAGCAUUCAAGUAAUUCUUUUCUUUGACUUAUGGCUUAUUUCCAAGGCAAAAGGUUGAGAGGCUUGAUGGGAGUACAUUCCGAGAUUAUUUAUGAUCAGGUAGAGAGGAAUCUAGAGAUCCGUUGAUAUAUGUAGUCCAUAUUUUGUCCCUCCAUCUUAGGCUUUUUUUUUUUCUCCCUCUUUUCCUUUUCUCUCUUCUUACGUGGAAAUAAAUUGUUCGCCAGGGGCUUUCGAGAAAAUUCUGUAGAACUGAAUCCUGGGUUUUAUGUUUGUGAUUAAAAUUUAUGGCCAUGCUCUACGCGUACUGUUUCAGUCUGUCA